UACGGAGAGUGCAAGCGUUGUUCGGAAUUAUUGGGCGUGAAGCGCGUGUAGGCGGUCCAACAAGUCUGGCGUGAAAGCCUCGGGCUCAACCCGGGAAGUGCGCUGGAAACUGUAGGACUUGAGUACCGGAGGGGAAGGGAAUUCUCGAGUGUAGAGGUGAAAUUCGUAGAUAUUCGGAAGAACAUCAGUGGCGAAGGCGCCUUCCUGGACGGAUACUGACGCUGAGACGCGAAAGCGUGGGUAGCAAACAGGAUUAGAUACCCCGU
rnacentral:rRNA from 1 species